rnacentral:rRNA from 1 species
AGCGAACGCUGGCGGCAGGCCUAACACAUGCAAGUCGAACGAACUCUUCGGAGUUAGUGGCGGACGGGUGAGUACCACGUGGGAACGUGCCUUUUGGUUCGGAAUAACUCAGGGAAACUUGUGCUAAUACCGAAUGUGCUCUUCGGGGGUAAGAUUUAUCGCCAUUAGAGCGGCCCGCGUCUGAUUAGCUAGUUGGUGAGGUAACGGCUCACCAAUGCGACGAUCAGUAGCUGGUCUGAGAGGAUGACCAGCCACACUGGGACUGAGACACGGCCCAGACUCCGACGGGAGGGAGCAGAGGGGAAUCUUGCGCAAUGGGCGAAAGCCUGACGCAGCCAUGCCGGGUGAAUGAUGAAGGUCGUAGGAUUGUAAAAUUCUUUCACCGGGGACGAUAAUGACGGUACCCGGAGAAGAAGCCCCGGCUAACUUCGUG